rnacentral:rRNA from 1 species
UACGAAGGUGGCUAGCGUUGUUCGGAUUUAUUGGGCGUAAAGAGCGUGUAGGCGGCCGAGCAGGUCCGUUGUGAAAACUGAAGGCUCAACCUUCAGAGGUCGAUGGAAACCGUUCGGCUAGAGUCCGGAAGAGGAGAGUGGAAUUCCUGGUGUAGCGGUGAAAUGCGCAGAUAUCAGGAAGAACACCCGUGGCGAAAGCGGCUCUCUGGGACGGUACUGACGCUGAGACGCGAAAGCGUGGGGAGCGAACAGG